AUUGAACGCUGGCGGCAUGCCUUACACAUGCAAGUCGAACGGCAGCACGGACUUCGGUCUGGUGGCGAGUGGCGAACGGGAGAGUAAUGUAUCGGAACGUACCUUUCAGUGGGGGAUAACGUAGCGAAAGUUACGCUAAUACCGCAUAUUCUGUGAGCAGGAAAGCAGGGGAUCGCAAGACCUUGCGCUGAUUGAGCGGCCGAUAUCAGAUUAGCUAGUUGGUGAGGUAAAGGCUCACCAAGGCGACGAUCUGUAGCGGGUCUGAGAGGAUGAUCCGCCACACUGGAACUGAGACACGGUCCAGACUCCUACGGGAGGCAGCAGUGGGGAAUUUUGGACAAUGGGGGCAACCCUGAUCCAGCCAUCCCGCGUGAGUGAAGAAGGCCUUCGGGUUGUAAAGCUCUUUCGGCCGGGAAGAAAUCGCAUGGGCUAAUACCCUGUGCGGAUGACGGUACCGGCAUAAGAAGCACCGGCUAACUACGUGCCAGCAGCCGCGGUAAUACGUAGGGUGCGAGCGUUAAUCGGAAUUACUGGGCGUAAAGCGUGCGCAGGCGGUUUUUUAAGACAGGCGCGAAAUCCCCGGGCUCAACCUGGGAACUGCGCUUGUGACUGGAAGGCUAGAGUAUGGCAGAGGGGGGUG
rnacentral:rRNA from 1 species